AGCCCUGUGAAGGUGAGCAAAUCCCAAAAAUAAACGUCCCAGUUCGGAUUGUAGUCUGCAACCCGACUACGUGAAGCUGGAAUCGCUAGUAAUCGCGGAUCAGAAUGCCGCGGUGAAUACGUUCCCGGGUCUUGUACACACCGCCCGUCACACCAUGGGAGUCGGAAAUGCCCGAAGCCGGUGACUCAACCUUUAAGGAGAGAGCCGUCGAAGGCAGGUCUGAUAACUGGGGUGAAGUCGUAACAAGGUAUC
rnacentral:rRNA from 1 species